rnacentral:rRNA from 1 species
UACAGAGGGUGCAGGCGUUAAUCGGAAUUACUGGGCGUAAAGCGUGCGUAGACGGUUAUGUAAGUCGGGUGUGAAAGCCCCGGGCUCAACCUGGGAAUGCCAUUCGAGACUGCAUAGCUAGGGUGCGGAAGAGGGAAGCGGAAUUUCCGGUGUAGCGGUGAAAUGCGUAGAUAUCGGAAGGAACACCAGUGGCGAAAGCGGCUUCCUGGUCCAGCACCGACGUCAGGCACGAAAGCGUGGGGAGCAAACAGG